UAGGGAAUCUUCGGCAAUGGGGGGAACCCUGACCGAGCAACGCCGCGUGAGUGAAGAAGGUUUUCGGAUCGUAAAGCUCUGUUGUUAAGGAAGAACGAGUGUGAGAAUGGAAAGUUCAUGCUGUGACGGUACUUAACCAGAAAGGGACGGCUAACUACGUGCCAGCAGCCGCGGUAAUACGUAGGUCCCGAGCGUUGUCCGGAUUUAUUGGGCGUAAAGCGAGCGCAGGCGGUUAGAAAAGUCUGAAGUGAAAGGCAGUGGCUCAACCAUUGUAGGCUUUGGAAACUGUUUAACUUGAGUGCAGAAGGGGAGAGUGGAAUUCCAUGUGUAGCGGUGAAAUGCGUAGAUAUAUGGAGGAACACCGGUGGCGAAAGCGGCUCUCUGGUCUGUAACUGACGCUGAGGCUCGAAAGCGUGGGGAGCGAACAUG
rnacentral:rRNA from 1 species